rnacentral:rRNA from 1 species
GCUUGACACAUGCAAGUCGAACGGAAAGGCCCUGCUUUUGUGGGGUGCUCGAGUGGCGAACGGGUGAGUAACACGUGAGUAACCUGCCCUUGACUUUGGGAUAACUUCAGGAAACUGGGGCUAAUACCGGAUAGGAGCUCCUGCUGCAUGGUGGGGGUUGGAAAGUUUCGGCGGUUGGGGAUGGACUCGCGGCUUAUCAGCUUGUUGGUGGGGUAGUGGCUUACCAAGGCUUUGACGGGUAGCCGGCCUGAGAGGGUGACCGGCCACAUUGGGACUGAGAUACGGCCCAGACUCCUACGGGAGGCAGCAGUGGGGAAUAUUGCACAAUGGGCGGAAGCCUGAUGCAGCAACGCCGCGUGCGGGAUGACGGCCUUCGGGUUGUAAACCGCUUUCGCCUGUGACGAAGCGUGAGUGACGGUAAUGGGUAAAGAAGCACCGGCUAACUACGUGCCAGCAGCCGCGGUGAUACGUAGGGUGCGAGCGUUGUCCGGAUUUAUUGGGCGUAAAGGGCUCGUAGGUGGUUGAUCGCGUCGGAAGUGUAAUCUUGGGGCUUAACCCUGAGCGUGCUUUCGAUACGGGUUGACUUGAGGAAGGUAGGGGAGAAUGGAAUUCCUGGUGGAGCGGUGGAAUGCGCAGAUAUCAGGAGGAACACCAGUGGCGAAGGCGGUUCUCUGGGCCUUUCCUGACGCUGAGGAGCGAAAGCGUGGGGAGCGAACAGGCUUAGAUACCCUGGUAGUCCACGCUGUAAACGGUGGGUACUAGGUGUGGGGUCCAUUCCACGGGUUCCGUGCCGUAGCUAACGCUUUAAGUACCCCGCCUGGGGAGUACGGCCGCAAGGCUAAAACUCAAAGGAAUUGACGGGGCCCCGCACAAGCGGCGGAGCAUGCGGAUUAAUUCGAUGCAACGCGUAGAACCUUACCUGGGUUUGACAUGGAUCGGGAGUGCUCAGAGAUGGGUGUGCCUCUUUUGGGGUCGGUUCACAGGUGGUGCAUGGCUGUCGUCAGCUCGUGUCGUGAGAUGUUGGGUUAAGUCCCGCAACGAGCGCAACCCUUGUUCACUGUUGCCAGCACGUUAUGGUGGGGACUCAGUGGAGACCGCCGGGGUCAACUCGGAGGAAGGUGGGGAUGACGUCAAGUCAUCAUGCCCCUUAUGUCCAGGGCUUCACGCAUGCUACAAUGGCUGGUACAGAGAGUGGCGAGCCUGUGAGGGUGAGCGAAUCUCGGAAAGCCGGUCUCAGUUCGGAUUGGGGUCUGCAACUCGACCUCAUGAAGUCGGAGUCGCUAGUAAUCGCAGAUCAGCAACGCUGCGGUGAAUACGUUCCCGGGGCUUGUACACACCGCCCGUCAAGUCAUGAAAGUUGGUAACACCCGAAGCCGGUGGCCUAACCGUUGUGGGGGAGCCGUCGAAGGUGGGACUGGUGAUUAGGACUAAGUCAUAAC